GGGGUCGCAGCUCAAAUGGUAGAGCGCCCGCUUAGCAUGCGAAGCUGAGCGCCGCAGUUACAAUAUGCGGGAGGUAGGGGGAUCGAUGCCCUCCGACUCCA
rnacentral:tRNA from 1 species